rnacentral:rRNA from 1 species
GACGAACGCUGGCGGCGUGCUUAACACAUGCAAGUCGAACGCUGAAGCUUGGUGCUUGCACUGGGUGGAUGAGUGGCGAACGGGUGAGUAAUACGUGAGUAACCUGCCCUUGACUCUGGGAUAAGCCUGGGAAACUGGGUCCAAUACUGGAUACGACAUGUCACCGCAUGGUGGUGUGUGGAAAGGGUUUUACUGGUUUUGGAUGGGCUCACGGCCUAUCAGCUUGUUGGUGGGGUAAUGGCUCACCAAGGCGACGACGGGUAGCCGGCCUGAGAGGGUGACCGGCCACACUGGGACUGAGACACGGCCCAGACUCCUACGGGAGGCAGCAGUGGGGAAUAUUGCACAAUGGGCGGAAGCCUGACGCAGCGACGCCGCGUGAGGGAUGACGGCCUUCGGGUUGUAAACCUCUUUCAGCACGGAAGAAGCGAAAGUGACGGUACGUGCAGAAGAAGCGCCGGCUAACUACGUG